UAUGCUAUGCAUUUUACAACUGUAAUACCUAUUUAUGAUAGCUAUAUGUUCCAGAUGAUCAUUUCGCACUGCAAAGUCGAACUUGAAUACAAUUGUUUUAUAUAAUGAACAUAUCGAAAAUCUCCCCAUGAAAACAUUAUUUAACGUUAUUGUGUUUAAUUUCGGUGAGCUAAUUUUUAGUAUUAGAUCAAAUAAAUCCUAAAUACUUAUACUAUUGGAAGUACAGAAAAUAAUUGA